AUUUAUAGGAAACCACAAGAAUACUCAAAUAUCCUAAGCAAUCUCAAGAAAAAUGAACAAGUCUGGAGUGUCCUAAUUUGAAAACAUAUUACAAAGCUACAGUAAUCAAAACAGUAUGGUAUUUGCAUUAAAGGAGACACAUAGACCAAUGAAACAGAAUAGAGAGCUCAGAAAUAAAUUCACCCAUUUAUGGUCAACUGAUCCUUGACAAAGUUUCCAAAAAUACACAAUGAGAAAAACACAGCCUCUUCAAUAAAUGAUGUUGGGCAAACUGGAUGUCCACAUGCAGAAAAAAAUAAAAAUAAAAAUAAAUAAGACCUUUCUCUUACACUAUACACAAAAAAAUGAACUCUAAACUAAUUAAAGACUUAAAUCUGAAACCAUAACACCCCUUGAAGAAAACCAGAGAGAAAAAGCUCUUUGACAUUGGUCUUGGCAAUAAAUUUUUAAAAUAUGAUCCUAAAAGUACCAGCAACAAAAGCAAAAAUGAACAGGUGGGACUACAUCAGACCAAGCACUUCUUCUUCACAGCCAAGAAAAAAAUUCAACAAAAUGAAAAAGCAACCUAUGAAAUAAAAGAAAAUAUUUGCAAGCCAUGUAUUGAUAAAAGGUGAAUGUCCAAAAUUUACAAAGAAUCUGCACAACUCAAUACCAAUAAACCAAAUAAUGUACAAAGACUUGAAUAGACAUUUCUCUAAAGAAGACAUGCAAAUGGCCAAUGAGUAUAUGAAAAAGUGCUCAACAUCACAAUCAUCAGAUAAAUGCAAAUCAAAACCAUGGUAAGAUAUUACCUCGCACCUGUUAGGAUGGCUAUUAUCAAAAAGACAAGAGAUAACAGUUUUGGCUUGGGUGUGGAGAACCCAAGCUUGUAUACUAUUGUUGGGGAUGUAAAUUAGUAUAGCCAUUAUAAAAAACAAUAUAUAAUUCCUUUAAAAAAGUAGAACUACCUUAUGAUCCAGGAAUCCUACUUCUGGGUAUAUAUCCAAAGGAAAUGAAAUCAGUACCUUGAAGAGAUAGCUACACCCCCAUGUUCAUUACAGCAUUAUCCACAAUAUCCACAAUAUGGAAACAACCCAAGUGUCUCUCAACAGAUAAAUGGAUAAAUCAAAAACAUGGUAUACGCAUGCACACACACACCUUCUCA
rnacentral:lncRNA from 1 species